rnacentral:rRNA from 1 species
UACAGGGGGUGCAACCGUUGCUCGGAAUCAUUGGGCGUAAAGCGCACGUAGGCGGUUCGUUAUGUCGGAUGUGAAAGCCCUUGGCUUAACCGAGGAAGUGCAUCCGAAACUGGCGAGCUAGAGUACGAAAGAGGAUCGCGGAAUUCCCGGUGUAGAGGUGAAAUUCGUAGAUAUUGGGAAGAACACCGGUGGCGAAGGCGGCUCUCUGGACCGUAACUGACGCUGAGGCGCGAAAGCGUGGGGAGCAAACAGG